rnacentral:lncRNA from 1 species
AUUAUUUAUACUUCAUUUUUUUAAUUUAAAUUAAUUUAUUUUAAUUGGAGGCUAAUUACAAUAUUGUAUUGGUUUUGCCAUACAUCAACAUGAAUCCACCACAGGUGUACACGUGUUCCCCAUCCAUCCUGAACCCCCCUCCCACAUCCCUCCCCGUACCAUCCCUCUGGGUCAUCCCAGUGCACCAGCCCCAAGCAUCAUUUCUAAAUUACUUAUUGAGUGUGUAGUGUAUAUGCUGGGGAUAAGAUAAAAGGGUUUUCUCUAGACUGCCUGAGCUCAGGCUUCCCAGGUGGCGCUAGUGGUAAAGAACCCGCCUGCCAAUGCAGGAGACAGACUGACAGAGAACUAACCUGCUGGCCAGGGGUCAACUAGAAACAAAUUUGUUAGCUCCACCCUGAGGGUGGGAAGCUGGGGCCCAAGCUUUUCUCUUCUCUUGCAGCUACUUUCAUCAAUAUUUCCUCUGCAGCUGAACGGGCUGGCACGCAACCUGCAAUGAGGCUCCGCUCCGAAGAUGCCCACCUCUGCUGGACCUCCUGGCUCCUGGGAUUCAUCAGUCUCCUUCUCAAACACAAAGAAGAAAGGGUCCCUACCAUCACUGGCAUCUAGAGAGAGUCAUGGAGACGGAGGAGAUGUGCCAAGGCACAGUUUCCAGUCCUUUAGGCAUCUGCAGCACUGGGGCCAAGAGUCCUGGUGCAUGUGGUUCUGAAGUUCAGGAUCCUGGAGCCCGUGUUCCCCUGCAGGGGAUCCGAGGAGGGUCUGUGUUGUUUCAUGUGACCACGAAGCAAGAAGCUGAACCAGAGGAAGUCUCAUGGGCCUUUGGCUCUGAGUCAAACUACAGUGUCCUGCUGCGAGUCCAUCGUGUGGCAGACACUCCAACCUGGGUCAGCCUCCAGGACAAGUACCAGCAGAGGGUCCAUGUGCCCAACAUCCUGUCCCUGAAGAUUGAGAACCUGACCUGUGAGGACAGUGGACAGUACCGGGCUCGAGUCAGCUUCCCUGGAGGAGUCGAAUAUACCCAGGUUUUCCUCCUCACUGUCUAUGAUUCUGGUGGGAUCAACAUCCAUCACACCAGACUGGUGCAACGUCACCCUGGAGUGCAGAACCUCUGGCGCCACAAAAGACCUGAAUGUGACCUGGGAGAACAAGGGCAUCCCUGGAGAAUGGGAGCAGAGAAGGACAUUAGAACCAGCUUGCAGCCCAUACAUUCUGGCUGUGAGCGUGCCGAGAGGCCAGCCCAAUGCCAGCCUCGUCUGUGUGGUCAGCAACCCGGUGGAAUAUAA